rnacentral:rRNA from 1 species
CCUACGGGAGGCUGCAGUGGGGAAUAUUGGACAAUGGGGGAAACCCUGAUCCAGCGACGCCGCGUAAGUGAAGAAGUAUUUCGGUACGUAAAGCUCUAUCAGCAGGAAAGAAAAUGACGGUACCUGACUAAGAAGCCCCGGCUAACUACGUGCCAGCAGCCGCGGUAAUACGUAGGGGGCAAGCGUUAUCCGGAUUUACUGGGUGGAAAGGGAGCAUAGACGGCAGCGCAAGUCAGGAGUGAAAUGCCGGGGCCCAACCCCGGAACUGCUCUGGAAACUGUGAAGAUGGAGUGCAGGAGGGGUAAGCGGAAUUCCUGGUGUAGCGGUGAAAUGCGUAGAUAUCAGGAGGAACACCGGCGGCGAAGGCGGCUUACUGGACUGUAACUGACGUUGAGGCUCGAAGGCGUGGGGAGCAAACAGGAUUAGAUACCCGAGUAGUC